GGCUAACCGCGGGAGGAAUUUAAUCUAGAGUCUAACUUGCGUGGCUGUCCCCACUGAGUCCCGGGCACGGGUCAGGCUAACCGCGGGAGGAAUUUAAUCUAGAGUUUAACUUGUGUGGCUGACUCCACUGAGUCCCGGGCACGGGUCAGGCUAACCGCGGGAGGAAUUUAAUCUAGAGUCUAACUUGCGUGGCUGUCCCCACUGAGUCCCGGGCACGGGUCAGGCUAACCGCGGGAGGAAUUUAAUCUAGAGUUUAACUUGUGUGGCUGUCCCCACUGAGUCCCGGGCACGGGUCAGGCUAACCGCGGGAGGAAUUUAAUCUAGAGUUUAACUUGCGUGGCUGACUCCACUGAGUCCCGGGCACGGGUCAGGCUAACCGCGGGAGGAAUUUAAUCUAGAGUUUAACUUGCGUGGCUGACUCCACUGAGUCCCGGGCACGGGUCAGGCUAACCGCGGGAGGAAUUUAAUCUAGAGUUUAACUUGUGUGGCUGACUCCACUGAGUCCCGGGCACGGGUCAGGCUAACCGCGGGAGGAAUUUAAUCUAGAGUCUAACUUGCGUGGCUGUCCCCACUGAGUCCCGGGCACGGGUCAGGCUAACCGCGGGAGGAAUUUAAUCUAGAGUUUAACUUGCGUGGCUGUCCCCACUGAGUCCCGGGCACGGGUCAGGCUAACCGCGGGAGGAAUUUAAUCUAGAGUUUAACUUGCGUGGCUGUCCCCACUCAGUCCCGGGCACAGGCCAAGCUAACCACGGGAGGAAUUUAAUCUAGAGUUUAACUUUAAAUCAAGAAUAGUAAUCAUCCCUCCCUAAAACGAAUCCCCUCCUUGCUCAAGACCGAAGCCACCUCUGUGAAGCUUGUGAAGGGCCACAAGAUUAGGAUGAUGGGAGGGGCCUGAAUUCUGCUCAGAUGUAGGUGUCCUGAGGAGAACCAGCCCGCAGGCCUUGCUUCCCCAGCUUGCCCUGCUGUAAUUCCCUACUGCUCAGGACUCACGCAGCCAGAGGUCACGAGAUUUGUGACCGCCCCAAUUGCUCCCCAAUAAGAUAACGUCAAUAGUACAACCUAAGAAUGGUCUUUUGGGAUGUUUUUCAGACUUUUGAGUUCUGGCAACCUACAGACUCCACCUGGACCUGAGACUCAUGACUCAGCUGAUCCCGUGGCUCCACGCAGAGGCGGACUCAGGGGACAAAAAUCGUUGACACCCCAUGGUCCGUCUGCAGCCGAUCAGCAGCAGGCAUUCCCUAGCCCCUGCCUGCCAAAUUGCCUGUAGAAACUGUAGCCUCUGAGUUCUCUGGGAGAUUGAGUUGAAUAAUAACUCCAGCC
rnacentral:lncRNA from 1 species